GAUGAACGCUAGCUACAGGCUUAACACAUGCAAGUCGAGGGACCGGCGCACGGGUGAGUAACACGUAUCCAACCUGCCCUUUACUCGGGGAUAGCCUUUCGAAAGAAACAUUAAUACCCGAUAUCAAGGAUGGGGAUGCGUUCCAUUAGGUUGUUGGUGAGGUAACGGCUAACCAAGCCUGCGAUGGAUAGGGGUUCUGAGAGGAAGGUACCCCACAUUGGAACUGAGACACAGUCCAAACUCCUACGCGAGGCAGCAGUGAGGAAUAUUAGGGAAGGGGCGCUAGCCUGGACCAGCCAAGUAGCGGGAAGGAUGCAGGCUUAUGGGUCGUAAACUUCUUUUAUAGAAGAAUAUGUAUUAAAUGAAUAAGGAUCGGCUAACUCCGUGCCAGCAGCCGCGGUAAUAC
rnacentral:rRNA from 1 species